CCGUCUCAAAAAAAGAAUGGGCGGCCGGACAGGUGAAAAUACAAUGGACGGGGCCCUGGGAGAAGUUCCCGCCUUUCUCUGGGCCACCACCUCCAGGUUCCUGGACUGCCAGCAGGUAGAGGGGCCAGGGUGCCAUCCGGGGGGCCGCUGAGGGGGUCCAGCCUUCCUAUACCUGCCCUUCAGCAGAGGCAGGCUGGGGCGGUCCUCAUGUGAGGGGCUCUGCACCCACAUCCGGGGGGCCGCUGAGGGGGUCCAGGCCAGGGGCAGAGCCGCUCCUCUCCAUCCUACUGGGCAAGACUCCUUGGUGCUCUUCCGUCGGGCAGAACUGACCAAGACUCAGAACAUUCAACGUCAGGAGCCAGCUGGGGACAGGAUCUGCCUUGGGAGACUUGGCAGGCCCAGUGACCAUCCCACUGCACAGUUGGGGGUCGGGGGCGACACUCCAGAGGGACACGUUCGGGCCUCCUGGGGGGUGCAGGCUUCUGGGCACGUCCACCAGGCAUGCACACCGGCCACCCCACCCUGCUGUCGCUCACCCACAAGGUCUCUGGCAGCCCUUCCGGGAAUGUUUCCAUUUCAUC
rnacentral:lncRNA from 1 species